UAUGAUCACAUCACGCUGAAAUACAGGUUCUUGUACGAUCACCGAAGUUAAGCAACGUUGAACUUGGUCAGUAUCGGGAUGGGUGGCAGCUUGUGAAUACCAGAUGCUACAA